rnacentral:rRNA from 1 species
UACGUAGGGCGCAAGCGUUGUCCGGAAUUAUUGGGCGUAAAGAGCUCGUAGGCGGUUCGUCGCGUCGGCUGUGAAAACCCGGAGCUCAACUCCGGGCCUGCAGUCGAUACGGGCUGGCUUGAGUGCGGUAGGGGAGACUGGAAUUCCUGGUGUAGCGGUGAAAUGCGCAGAUAUCAGGAGGAACACCGGUGGCGAAGGCGGGUCUCUGGGCCGUAACUGACGCUGAGGAGCGAAAGCGUGGGGAGCGAACAGG